rnacentral:rRNA from 1 species
CCUACGGGGGACUGCAGUGGGGAAUAUUGGGCAAUGGGCGCAAGCCUGACCCAGCAACGCCGCGUGAAGGAAGAAGGCUUUCGGGUUGUAAACUUCUUUUGUCAGGGACGAAGCAAGUGACGGUACCUGACGAAUAAGCCACGGCUAACUACGUGCCAGCAGCCGCGGUAAUACGUAGGUGGCAAGCGUUAUCCGGAUUUACUGGGUGUAAAGGGCGUGUAGGCGGGACUGCAAGUCAGAUGUGAAAACCACGGGCUCAACCUGUGGCCUGCAUUUGAAACUGUAGUUCUUGAGUACUGGAGAGGCAGACGGAAUUCCUAGUGUAGCGGUGAAAUGCGUAGAUAUUAGGAGGAACACCAGUGGCGAAGGCGGUCUGCUGGAACAUUACUGACGCUGAUGCACGAAAGCGUGGGGAGCAAACAGGAUUAGAUACCCCAGUAGUC